rnacentral:misc_RNA from 1 species
UGGUUCUGGCAUCGAUGAAGAACGCAGCGAAAUGCGAUAAGUAAUGUGAAUUGCAGAAUUCCGUGAAUCAUCGAAUCUUUGAACGCACAUUGCGCCCGCUAGUAUUCUGGCGGGCAUGCCUGUUCGAGCGUCAUUUCAACCCUCAAGCCCAGCUUGGUGUUGGGGAUCGGCCCGCCCCUAGCGGCGCGCCGGCCCUGAAAUCUAGUGGCGGUCUCGCUGUAGCCUCCUCUGCGUAGUAGCAAUAUCUCGCACUGGAACGCGGCAAGGCCACGCCGUUAAACCCCCCAAAUUCUGAAAGGUUGACCUCGGAUCAGGUAGGAAUACCCGCUGA